rnacentral:rRNA from 1 species
GACGAACGCUGGCGGCGUGCUUAACACAUGCAAGUCGAACGGUAAGGCCCUUCGGGGUACACGAGUGGCGAACGGGUGAGUAACACGUGGGUGAUCUGCCCUGCACUUCGGGAUAAGCCUGGGAAACUGGGUCUAAUACCGGAUAGGACCACUGCCUGCAUGGGUGGUGGUGGAAAGCUUUUGCGGUGUGGGAUGGGCCCGCGGCCUAUCAGCUUGUGGGUGGGGUGAUGGCCUACCAAGGCGACGACGGGUAGCCGGCCUGAGAGGGGGACCGGCCACACUGGGACUGAGAUACGGCCCAGACUCCUACGGGAGGCAGCAGUGGGGAAUAUUGCACAAUGGGCGCAAGCCUGAUGCAGCGACGCCGCGUGAGGGAUGACGGCCUUCGGGUUGUAAACCUCUUUCAGCACCGACGAAGCGCAAGUGACGGUAGGUGCAGAAGAAGGACCGGCCAACUACGUGCCAGCCGCCGCUGUAA